CACAAGGUUAAAUCUGUUUAUUCCGAACUAAGGUUGCAUUAAUCAUGUCUUCAUCUACAAUCAACCUAAACUUCACCUAUUACUGUAAACAAUAAAGACAGAUGAGGCCCAGCCCGGCUGUCUGGUGGGGCUGCCGUUGGCUCAGAUCCUUGCAGCCUCCUGAAAACCAGAGCCUCCAGUGCUGCUCUCCUCCUGGGUUUCAGUGCUCUGCGGUUUCUUAUCACUUGCUUUAAAAAUAACUUCUUAACAAAAGCAUUUUCUAAAGAUCACAAGCAUGCACACCAGCAACACUUCAGACAUCUCAUCCACCAACACCACAAAGC
rnacentral:lncRNA from 1 species